AACGAACGCUGGCGGCGUGCUUAACACAUGCAAGUCACGGGGGCCCGCAAGGGCAACCGGCGAACGGGUGCGUAACACGUGAGCAAGCUUCCGAUUAGUGGGGGAUAGCCGGCCCAACGGCCGGGUAAUACCGCAUACGCUCACUGGACGGCAUCGUCUGGUGAGGAAACCUCCGGGGCUAAUCGAGGCGCUCGCGGCCUAUCAGCUAGUUGGCGGGGUAACGGCCCACCAAGGCUAUGACGGGUAGCUGGUCUGAGAGGAUGGCCAGCCACAGUGGGACUGCGACACGGCCCAGACUCCUACGGGAGGCAGCAGUGGGGAAUAUUGCGCAAUGGACGGAAGUCUGACGCAGCGACGCCGCGUGUGGGAUGAAGCUCUUCGGGGUGUAAACCACUGUUGCCCGGGACGAACCUCCCCUUUCGAGGGGACUGACGGUACCGGGUGAGGAAGCACCGGCUAACUCUGUGCCAGCAGCCGCAGUAAUAC
rnacentral:rRNA from 1 species